AUGAAACGUUACGUGCGUGAGAAAACAGCUUCUGAAGCUGUCAACAAUUUUGAGAGUUUGCAGAGAAAUACACAGAGGAAGAGUGUCUUGGAAGUGGCGGAUUCGGCAGAGUUUUUGCCGGAUACCGGAAGGAGGGAUUGCUGCCAGUGGCCAUAAAGCACAUCCCUCUGCACAAAGCUGACUGGAUGACUACAACCCUUGAUGGACAGCAGCAGAAGGUUCCCAAAGAGGUGGCGCUGAUCAGGAUGGUGGGC